rnacentral:rRNA from 1 species
UACGAAGGGGGCUAGCGUUGCUCGGAAUCACUGGGCGUAAAGCGCACAUAGGCGGAUUGCUAAGUCAGGGGUGAAAUCCUGGAGCUCAACUCCAGAACUGCCUUUGAUACUGGCGAUCUUGAGUCCGGGAGAGGUGAGUGGAACUGCGAGUGUAGAGGUGAAAUUCGUAGAUAUUCGCAAGAACACCAGUGGCGAAGGCGGCUUACUGGUCCGGUUCUGACGCUGAGGCGCGAAAAGCGUGGGGGAGCAAACAGGG